UAGGAAAGGGAGAGAAAGAGAGAAAAAGAGACAGAAUAUCAAGAAGCCGUCACUUGCCCAGGCAUUCCAAAUCAUGUCAGUCCACACUCCAGUGUGAAACACCUGGAGGCUGGAGUCCCUGGCUUACCUGUUGUUGUCCCUGGCUUACCUGGAGUCCCUGGCUCCGGGCUUCCCUCCGCGUGCUGCUGCUCCUCCAGGUCCCCCCCGGUGGCUCUCGCGCGCCCCCAGGCGGCCACGUCGCGGAGCAGCUCCGUCACGUUGUGUUGAGUGAUCUCCCCGGCCGUCUAACAGUAGAAGGGGCGUGGCCAGACGUCGGGGCCAGGAUGGCGGGGCGGGGCUUAGAACGCUGGGAGUCCUCGGUCCAGGACUAGAACUCCCGCAGCUGCUUGGAGGAUGUGAAGUGGGGCGGGACCUAUCCCGCGGGGAUGGGGCCUGUUCUCUGAAUGGAGUCGUUCCCACCAAGCGACGGGCGGGGUCUGGAGCUGGGGGCGGGGCCUGCUGUGGGGGCGGGGCCUUGCGCACCCACCGACCCCCAGCCCCACCUCUACCCCCAGUCCCAGCCUCGCCGCGCACCUUGACUGGCUGGCCGUUGCUCGUCCGCAGGAGGCUCUCGUCGUCCGCUUCGAUGCCGAAGGCCACGAAGGGCCCCGUGGCGAUGUCCCCCCAGUACCCGCGCGCUGCCACGCGCUCCCCACGCUGGAAAAGGAGGGAGAGAGGAGGCAGGUAAUCUAGAGAUGAUUUGCGGUGUAUGGGACCAUGUGUACAGGCUAUUUGUAAGUACAUCUUUUUUGUUUUGAGACAGUGUCUCACUCUGUUGCCCAGGCUGAAUGCAGUUGUGCCAUCAUAGUUCACUGUUACCUCGACCACCUGAGCUUAAGGGACCCUCCUCCUCCAGCUUCCCAGCUAGCUGGGGCUAGGCAUUAG
rnacentral:lncRNA from 10 species